CAUUUUUCAAGCUCCAUGAGCCUCAUCAUUUGCUGCACUGAAAUUCCUGUUUUGGCAAACAUGAGGAUUCUGCUUUUGUCUGCAUCUGAUAUGGUUCGAUAUGCAGGAAGGAAACGGACCUGAUUUGGUUCUAGGAGUUCAUGAUUAUGGUGAUUUGCAAAACCUGUGACACGCCAUUCUGGCAUCCCUAUCUCUGUGGCCUUGCU
rnacentral:misc_RNA from 1 species